rnacentral:rRNA from 1 species
AGAGAGAGACAUGCGCGCAUAUCAAUAAGCGGAGGAAAAGAAACUAACAAGGAUUCCCUUAGUAACGGCGAGUGAAGCGGGAAGAGCUCAAAUUUGAAAUCUUCAAGGUUUUACCUUGACGAAUUGUAGUUUAAAGAAGUGUUUUCUGCUGAAGUUUUGGUAAAAGUUCUUUGGAAUAGGACAUCAUAGAGGGUGAGAAUCCCGUAUUUGACCAUUAUUUUCAGCUUUGUGAUACACUUUCAAAGAGUCGGAUUGUUUGGGAAUGCAGUCCAAAAUGGGUGGUAAAUUUCAUCUAAAGCUAAAUAUUGGCGAGAGACCGAUAGCGAACAAGUACCGUGAGGGAAAGAUGAAAAGAACUUUGAAAAGAGAGUUAAACAGUACGUGAAAUUGUCAAAAGGGAAGCGUUUGACACCAGUGUUGUUUUCCUCGAAAAUCAAUUAAAAAUGGCUCGAUUUUGUAUUGCUGAGACCUUAAAAGCUCACUGUACAUUUUUCGUGUCUUUUUUAAUGCACUUUUCGUUUAACAAGUCAACAUCAGUUUCUUUUGUUGUAAAAGGGUCAUUGGAAGGUGGCUUUCUUUUCGGAGAAAGUGUUUAUAGCCUUUGGCCUCUGCAAUCGAAGAGACUGAGGUCUGCAGCGUAGACUCUUCGGGGUUAGAUACAUUUGUGCUAAGUUAUAGCUUUUUAUAGACAACUUGUUGACUAUAAUUAGUCUUGUAGCUUACUCGCUUAUGCUAUUUUACCUACGCUUAGGAUGUUGAGGUCGUAGAGCACGCAG